rnacentral:rRNA from 1 species
GAUCCUGGCUCAGGACGAACGCUGGCGGCGUGCCUAACACUUGCAAGUCGAACGGAAAAUUGAGCUUCGGUUCAAUUUUAGUGGCGAACGGGUGAGUAACGCGUAGGCAACCUGCCCUUUAGACGGGGACAACAUUCCGAAAGGGAUGCUAAUACCGGAUGUGACGCUCUUAUCGCAUGACGGGAGCGUGAAAGAUGGCCUCUACAUGUAAGCUAUCGCUAAAGGAUGGGCCUGCGUCUGAUUAG